ensembl:lncRNA
GAUCCAUUUGCCCAAAAUAUUCCCCAGGAACUUUCUUCUUUCCAAAAGGAGAAAAUCCAGACAGCCAAGGAAACAGAUGUGCUGUGGCAGAUGUGGCGUGACAGCAGUAAGUCACACCUCAACAUGCGUAUUGGAGGAGCUGGGGAUCAAACCGUUCCUUUCAGAUGAAAAUCCAGCCACUUGCCAAACAGGGAUUUUGAAUCAGACAAGAUUUCGGUUCAGAGAUCAAAACAACCUCAGGCACUCUUUCCCGGUCAGAAGUUGCUGCACUGGUUUUUCAAAAACAACCCGGUUUGCCUCUACAAACCAGUCACUGUAUCCUCCCGGGGGGGGUGCAGAACAAAAACAACUCACUCACUGCAGCCAGUUGUUUCUCAGCACUGAGGCGUCAUGUGGGAGAAGAUGCAGUGUAGUGUGUCAGAGGUAGUAAGUAAAAGCAAAGCGUCUAGAGUUCCACUUCAAAUUGCCUUCUACAAGGUAGACCGCAAUUGAGAUAGUGCACAUUUAUCCCAAGGUCAGUGAAUAUAUUCUAGUUAGUGUACAGUAAUACAGUUAUGCAACAGUUACGUUAAGCAAACAUUGAAAUAGUGCAAAGGGCAAGCCACCAUGAAAAGCAUCGUAUUACUGCAUUAUCAAACUGCAGUGCAACUUUUAAAAUAUACGGGUUCUUUGAAAAGUGGUGGAUUUUAAAAGCAUCGAAAUCUGUUCUCUGCAAUUGGCUAUAUUUAAAUCAUAUAAAUGAUCCCAAAGGCAGUCUGUGGUAUUCAACCUUUGCUACACCGGGGGAAUGUUUGUGCUAUGAUCAGUCACCCUCCUGCAUCACAGGACCUGUUCUUUUUCUUUAUCAAAGCAUUCUGAAAAAUGUCCACGUCCCCCCUCGCUUGAAGGUCAAUUGCAGAAUGACUCUUGGACCAACACUGGGACCAACGUUUCGCAUGUCUUAUUUUGAAACUUCAACCAUGUCUCCAAGCAUUUGUGUGUGUGUGUGUGUGUGUGUGUGUGUGUGUGUGUGUGUGUUUGUGCAUGGCACUGACAAUCUUUGAAAAACUAAUUCCUGUUAUUCAUCUAUUAACUAGGGUCCUUUUGUGCAGGUCAGCACCUGAUUUUUAAAAUGUAUUUAAGCUGCUUUGGGAACUAAGAUGGGUCAGAUAAAGAACUACUUCAAAUUCCUACCACUAACCCAUCAUAAGAUGACAAAUGCUUUUGAAAUGAC